rnacentral:rRNA from 1 species
UACGUAGGGUGCAAGCGUUGUCCGGAAUUAUUGGGCGUAAAGAGCUUGUAGGCGGUUUGUCGCGUCUGCUGUGAAAUUUCGGGGCUCAACCCCGAACUUGCAGUGGGUACGGGCAGACUAGAGUGUGGUAGGGGAGACUGGAAUUCCUGGUGUAGCGGUGAAAUGCGUAGAUAUCAGGAGGAACACCGGUGGCGAAGGCGCCUAUCUGGCCCGAUACUGACGCUGAGGCGCGAAAGCUAGGGGAGCAAACGGG